CUUGAGUCAUAGCAAUAAAGGAAGCUGCCUUAUAUUAAGCCAGACCAUGGGUCAAUUUAGUUGAGUAAUUGUGUAUCUGCACUGACUGGCUACAACUCUCCAGGGUUUAAGACACAAAAGAGUUUCCUAGCCCUUCCUAAAGUUGCCAGGAAUCGAAGCUCAGACCUUCUACAAGCAUAGCAGCUGCUCUGAGCCACCGAACUAAAGGCCCUUCCUCAGGGAACUUCUCUCAAAUCCCUUUGAGUUCAGUGGGACUUACUCCCAGGUAUGCGGUGUCAAGAUAUUCCUGGCUUGGGCCUAAAUUUUGGUCCCGGCCAAAGUGUCAAAACUUUGGUUCAGCAAUUAUACCUAGACUUCCGGCUGAGGUACGGGAUCGUGAGCUAGCUGUCUCUGGCCCUCAAUUGCCAGCAGGCCCAAGAUUUACGGCACCUGUGUUAUCUACAGAAACACAGUAUCUCAAGGAAGUACUGUACACGGUCGCUACUUGGAAUAACAUUUUUCAGUUGUCCUGUCAUGGAGGCCAUUACCAGACAGAGCGCCUGGAAAGUUACAAUUAAGGAGCCCUUUUCCUGGCUGAGGUGAGAGCAGAUGAUUGACGGAACGUGGAUUAUGUACCCCAGUGAGUUCACAAAUCAUAUAUAUGCAGCUUUCUUGAUGCACAUCAUUAAUGCAAACCCACAAGAAGUGUUGGAGUAGGAUUAUUCCCCAGGCUAAUCCAAAUUCUGUGCCAAGAACAAAUGAAUCCUGCAACCCAUAUGAGACAUCGAGAAAUCCUGCUGCAGACUUGUGUUUGAAGCCUCUUCAGAGAGUUGUAUAAACUCACUGUAUCCCCAUUCCCUGUGUGGAGCCUGAUUUAAUACCCGAAGUUCAACGGACAUUAUGGCCCUCUUGCUCCUGUCCAUGAAUGCCAUAAACCAUGAGGCCCGGUGCAUUUGUACCCUUGUAUAUCCCACCAUUAGUGGCCCUGGACAUGGUUGUUGUAAGGAUUACUUUGAUAAUUAAUGGAAAGCACUUUGUGCACUCUAAACAAGUGCUAUAUAAAUGAAAUCAAUGUCUAUUGGUUCAUUAUAUGUGACAACGUACACAUUCAAAAUAAAAAUUGCAAUUUGGUUGUGACUUACCUGUCAUUUGA